AAAUAAUUUUAAAUGACAAUAAAAUUAUUACUUUUCUAAUAUUUAGAAGUGAAUAAUAGACUUUACCUACUCGCUGGGACAUCCUGUAUAUAUUUUUUAGGUCUGGUUUACACAUUAUAAAAUUAUGUACCAAUGGUUUGUGUAAUCUUAAUGCUGCCAAAAAUCGUAAAACAUGAAUUUAAAGUUGAAAUAACCCAAUACAUGAUGCAACACUUGACAUUGCUAAUGGGAAUCCCAUCGUGUGAUUUUACAUAAAUACACACAACAUUGAAAAUCUGUGCUCACUACCAUAAACACGUAAUAAUGAACACACUAAUAUUUUCAACUGCUUUAAUAGCAUUAUCAUCCGUUGUGUUAAUUGAUAAUGCGUUAUCAUUAAGUUGUAUUUCAAGUGCUUGUGAUACAAUAGAUUGCCGACCAAUCACCGAAUGUGGCCCUGGAGAGAUUAAGGCGAAAGGAGGGCACUGUCUUUGCUGCGAUUUUUGUAAAAAAAUCAUCGGAGAGGGCGAAACGUGUGCGAAAAAUGUUCCAAUGCCCAAUCAACUGUCAGAUAGUGUUGUGUGUGAGGAAGGAUUAUUGUGUCACGAGGGAAAAUGCCAGAAAAGCCAAGAGGUUUUAAAAGCGACCACAUAAGACAUCAUUAUUUUAAUUUAUCUCAAUAAAUGGUUAAAAGAAUAAAUAAUAAGCAAAAAUAUUAUUGUA